rnacentral:rRNA from 1 species
AAUUCAACAUCGAGGUCAUAAUCUUUUUCUUUUAUAAGAACUUUAAGAAAAAAUUGUGCUGUUAUCCCUACGGUAACUUGGUUGAUUCUCAGAUUGAGGAUAAAGAGAGAUGGAAGAAAAAAGAUUAAGUUUUUUUACCGCCCCAGUUCAACAAAAGUAAAGUUCGAUAGGGUCUUGUCGUCCUUCUUUGUUAUUCAAGUCUUUUUACUUGAAUGGAAAGUUUAAAUGGUUCAGGUAAUAAAGAAAUUUAUAUGUCAAACCUUUCAUUCUAGCCUUCAAUUAAAAGGCAAAUGAUUACGCUACCUUAGCACAAGAAAAUUGCGGCUAUUAAAUAAGUCAUUGAGCAGGCCCUACUGAAAAUUAAGACAUUCAGAAAUGUUUUUGAUAAACAGACAAUAAAUGUAUAGGCCGAGUUCAUAACCUGAAUGUAGAUUUCUGUCGAUGAAGAGAAUCAAUGAAAAUAGGUUAGAUAAAUUUUACUAAUAAGAUCAUUAUGGAAAUUUUUAGAAAGGCUCCUUUUAAAAAAAUUCUUGUAGAGGGAUGGAGCAGUUUUUAAACCAAGGGGACACUAUUAAUCCUGAAGUUUGAGAAGUUACAAGAUGGACAAUUUAUUAAAAAGAUUAUCCCUUUUAAAAUUUUAGUAUUGUUACUUUCAAAGAGAACCAGAUAUUAUGGAAUGCGAAUGAAAUUUCAUCUCUAUACCCAUUUUAGAAAACUUUAUGAAACAAGCUUGAUAAAUGGAAAUAGAUCAUUUCGAUUUCGGGAGUAUUUAAUAAAAAAGGGGGGUUGAUUUUCCCUGAUACUAAAGGUACAUAACUUUUCUAUUGUACAAUUGAAGAUACUUCCCUUACGGUAAAGUAACACCAAGAAAAGAACAGAAAUGAAAGAAUAUUUAUUUAAAUAAAUGUUCUGGGCAGGGGAAGU